AGAGUCGGAGUUAGAGUCAUAAAUCCACCACUUUGCAGCCCUGUUUCCAGAUGUGUGACAAGUAUGCUUCAAAAGUGUUUCUACCUUGAUGGUCUCUAAUGGUUUCAAGUGUGUUUUGAGUAUGGACUGGGUAUCUAUUAGUUCCCAAUUGGUACCCUAAUGGUUUCUAAUGGUUUUUAAACAUUUGCUUAAAUAACAGACAUAGAGGUAAUGGGAAGACCUUUGACUGGUUAUACUUGAUAAGCAUCACUACAAGGCCUUGGUUUUUCAUUAAAUAAAAAUGAUUCGCAAAAUCCACGUCGUUUCCGCUCAUUUAAACAGCACUACUUUUUCUCUGUGUGCCUACGCUGGCGGCGCCCGACCGUUGGCGACUUGGCGCCCGGCCGGCCGCGCCGGCGCCACAGUUCAAACCGGGCGUCGACGUCGGCCGGCCGGCCGGCGCGCCACCGUUUCGCGUUCGCUGGGCCUGGGACUGCCCGCGGUCGACCGGGACCCAGUCCUGCUGUAAAAGAGGAAGCUGAGCAGAAUCACGCGGCUGGCACGAACUUGCACCAGAGAGACGCCGUCUACCGGUUCUACACGGGUCCAGAUGGGCUGCAUGCCUGCAUUAUAGCUACGUUCUGACUUCUGAAAAUUCUGAUCGCCACGGAAGAUUAAGAAAUCUGUCAGAACAACAGACAGUAUCACCGAUCGGAAUGAUAUUGUAUCACGUCGUUCAUUGUGCCUAUGUGGAAUAGCGUACGUAUGGCCCAGUGUAUAACUACAUUGUAAUUCUGUUCUUGAUUCUGAUAGCAGUCGCCUCAUCGAUGUGGUGUUGACCAAACAACAAUGUCCAUGUGUAGUUAAUGUCUAAUGUUGGUAGGUACGUACUGAUGAAAAUGUAUAAGCUUGCAGAGUAAAACAAUAAAAAUAAUUCAUGGUG